rnacentral:tRNA from 1 species
GGGGAUUUAGCUCAGUGGUAGAGCACUUGCCUAGCAAGCACAAAGCCCUGGGUUCGAUCCCCAGCUCUG